UUUUUUUUAAUCAAUUAGAGAGGGCAUUGAGAGCAAGAAAACAUGCUGGAUUUUUCUGUAAACAUUCAGAGAGUUUUAAGAAUUCUUUAAGCAUUCAGUUUUGAGACUAAGUCUGAGAGUUUUGUUGGCUUUUAAGAAUCAUGAAAAGUCCAGCAGUUGAGGGUUAAAGAAAAGAAUCCACCGUUUCAUUGCGUUUCUCGAUCAGUCUAUUUCUGUUUGUUUGCUGUUGGUAAUCCAAAUUUCACUAGGUGUCUAGACUGUGUGUUGCUGUGGUUUUAUUUGGAUUUUGCGAGGUUUGAAUUCUUCCUG
rnacentral:lncRNA from 1 species